rnacentral:lncRNA from 1 species
AACAGCAUCCUUACUGUGUAAGAGUCUCCCAGCUGGUGCUGGUUUGGUUUUGAAGGCAUGACGGGGUCAUAGGGAGCAGCUGAGGCCUGGAACUGGGACUCAAGACUAGAAGAGGCCAUUGGUGAAGAUGUAGCCUGGUUGCAGCAAAAGACCCCAACAUUUGGAGAUGCCAGUACCAUGGGACAACUGACCAUCAAGAGCAGCAACAGCGGUGGAGUGGAGCCAGCCUGAACUUAGAAGACAAGGCUUGAAGACACAGCAGCACAGAAAGAUGGGGACCUGGGGGAGUCCCAGACAAAGCCUGACCGCCAAUACCUCCUGUUCCCAAGCUCUACAGCAGGACUCCAGCCAAUGCCUCUCCAAGGCUCAGCUUUCAGCAAUUAAAACAUUUGUCAAAGAAGAUUUAACCCAGCAUUGUGAAGUGCUCUGUCAAACAGAUUUGGCUCAGUGCUUUUUAAAGUUCUAUGAAAUGGCUACUCCCAAAAGUAAUUCAAUUAUGUUACCAUGGCUUUAAACAAAAACAGUAACUAGAAAGAUGUUGAUGGACCAGGAAAAAUCAUUUUGAGCCACAGUCAUUACUUCUGGGGAAUAAAAAGAAAAGAAAACUUACUUCUAAACUGUAGGAUGGAUCUCUAACAUGAAGACUCUGAAAACCCAGAAGUCAAAGAAGGGACAAGGCCAAAAAAAAAAAAAAAAAAAAAAAAAAAAAGGUACCCUUGGCAGUAACCACGGCAACACCAAACUGUGGAAGAGGGCACAGGUUUCAAACCAGCAUCCAUAAGCAGCAGCAUCUGCAUUUCUGCUCGUCAUACCUUGCCCUUUGAAUCAGAGCCUGAACGUGCUUAUGUAAACCCACUGGGGUGAGUCCAGACCCACUGUGUAAGCUGGAUGCACCCGCUGCUCUAAGACUGACUGACCUUGGCUGAAAGCAGCGGAACAGUAAAAUCAAAGUAUAAAUGUAUAUAUGUGUGCAAGUGUCAUAAGGGAACCCUUGCUUUGUAUGCAGACUUUAUUUUUGUUAAUGGUGGCCUGAGGAGGAGUGGAGGCAGACGGCUCACAGUAAACUGAGAAGGGCUUGGGAGAUCCUGCACUAUGAGCAUGGGAGUGCUGUGAGGACAGCCCAGGUGGGAGGAGAGGAAGAGAGCAGGAGAGGGUGUGAGGGUGAGGAGGGAGGGGGAGUAGGGGUGCAGAGAGGACGGAGAAACUGAAGGUGAGGAACUGGUGGGAGACCAGUCAGGGAGAACAGCCUGGUCCAGCAAAGUAGACAGAGUGCUUGGCUGAGUCACCAGAACAGAUAGGUCCAGAAGCAGCCAGAAGAGAGGCAAGGAGAACACUGAGAGCCAGCGUGAAAAUGGAGAGGUGAGUUCACUGAGGGUGGUGAGCAGGGAGGCACAGCCUGAACUGGGGCCUGGAUGGAGACAGACUGGUGAGGAGUGGUGGGAAUUUGGAGAACCAGAUGACAGGCUCAGCCCAAACCAGGCACACAGGGACCAAGACUGUUAGAGAACCUGGCUCCUAAUGAGUUGGUAACUGAAGACCUCACAAGCCAGCCCUCCGCCAAAGGAUCUGGAAGGCACUGUCUCCUAGACAUCACCUCAUGCCUCUCACACCAGGGCCUAGAAUGGAACCUUCCACACGAGACUUCCCUGAGGCGCCACUGCUCUCCUGUCCCUGGGGAGGCAUCAACAUUACCUCAGCAUCUGGGCUAGCUGAGGCCUGUGCUCUCCCUCCUGUCAUUUCUCU